UGUGAUGAGGGGCCAAGCUAUCAAAACAUCUCAGGCCAGCAGCUCAGCCACGUUCCAGUGUCCGGCUGCUCCCCGAUGACAGAGGGAGGUCCCUCAGAAGAAACCUUGUUGCCCAAAGGAACUCACAGGCUCAUGUUUGUGUGCUUACUUCUGUGUUGAGAAAUCUAGAUGACCCAAAGGAAGAUUUUCUUGCAAAACAAUAUCGCUCCAAACACAACUGUUUAUCAGUAUCAGUAUCAGUAUCAGUAUCAGUAUCAGUAUCAGUAUGUCCCCCCUACCCCCAACCCUUUUGUGUGUGUGUGUGAGAGAAGUGAUCUUUUUGCUGAGUGGCUAAGUGUUUCCAGAGCAAACAAGCCUCUGGCUCUUGCAGUCCUGCCCAUCUGCUCUCCGCCCUCCAGCCCCUCCUGUGAGUUGGAGAUCUGAUAGCCCAGGCUGAAGUUUGAAGCUCCCCCGGUGGCCACGCCGCCCUUCGGAGGGGUGCCUUGUCAAUGCCAGGAAAAAAAAAAAAAAAAAAACAGGAAAAAGAAAGGGUAGGCUGGCUUCGGUGAAGUCAUCCCACUAAAGGUUAAUAGCUGGGCGGUGACACCUCCUCACGGGACUGGAGCGAAAAUGCUGGGCAGCCAGGCAGCGCUUUGCUCCCAGCUGCCUGUCACGGUCCCGAGAGUAAGAGGUGACCUGUUUAUAUUUAGAAGGGGACAGUCCUAAUAACCCGGCUCCCAGCUUCAUUCAAGGCAGGCUGGUGCUUCGGAAGUUUGUAAACACCUACUUUCUGAGUAGGGGAGGAGUGCUUUCCUCCAAAAAGGAAAGAACUUCACUACUGGGUUUUUUUUUUUUUUUCCCCCCUCCUGAUAAUUAUCAUCAGUGCGGAGAAGAAACUGCCAUAGCACAGAAGGGCUGCAGCUUUCUCCACUUGGUUGUUAUUUUUAAAGGGCAGAAAUGCCUGAAGGUGAAGACUUUGGACCAGGCAAAAGCUGGGAAGUUAUC